rnacentral:rRNA from 1 species
UACAGAGGGUGCGAGCGUUAAUCGGAAUUACUGGGCGUAAAGCGUGCGUAGACGGUUAUCUAAGUCGGAUGUGAAAGCCCCGGGCUCAACCUGGGAAUUGCAUUCGAGACUGAAUAGCUAGGGUACGGUAGAGGGAAGUGGAAUUUCCGGUGUAGCGGUGAAAUGCGUAGAUAUCGGGAGGAACACCUGUGGUGAAGACGGCUCUCUAGACCGCAACUGACGCUGAGACACGAAAGCGUGGGUAGCAAACAGG